UCCUCCUCCUCCUCCUCCCCCCCCCCGUUUUGUUCCAAAAUGAAGUUAAGGAGGAGUUCCAAACAAUGCUUAUUUACCUUCGGUAACCUAGACUCUGUCUCCUUAGUGUCUAGUAAACACUCCGAAUAAAACAAUGCUUUUGUAUUUUUCUAUUUGAAGAAGCAGCUAUAGAAUUAGACAUUUUAUUAUAGGCUCUUUUCCUUUUCUUUUUUUUUUAGCUAGAAGUUCUGCUUUAGCGUCAGCAGUGAGGUCAUGAUUCAGUCUCGCGCUUGGUUUCCCAGAAACUCUCAGGAAUAACAGCUCACGUGCUGUGCUCCAGUCCUCCACAGGGGGCGCCAGAUUAUGUGCAACUUCAUACAGCACAUCUUUAUUUCCCAAAAGCAAUAGUUGGUAACCAGGGGCAGCAGAUUAUUAUUAUUAUGGUUAUUGUUGUGAAGUUGUAUGCCUGAGCAUAUGGUACGAUUGUUUUUAAGUACUGUCCUAAGAUAUACAACAAAAUCAAGAGCUCUCAGCCCACUGCGGUGACCCUAACUCUUCCCUCGAACCCACCCACCCAUACAGUGAGAAUUUCUUCUUUAAAAGAAGGUGACUUCAGAUUCUUCAUUGUAAAGACUAGUCCUAUCUUUUUGGGAAAUGGUAUCUUUUUGCAAUGUGUGUGUGACUGAUAUCCACAUCAGAUCCCUUCCUGCUGACUCAGCGAUGACCACCAUACGCCUCAGGUGGUUAAUUGGAGGACACAUUAACUCCUGUGGUGUCAUGUCCAGGCUUUGCCAUCCUUUAACCAACUCACGGCCUGGAAGUGAAAAUCCGACUUGGCUCAGAAUCGCUCUGAAAGCUUCUCGGCACGUUUGACCAAACCUCGACUGGGAGCUGCGAAGGAGGGGAUGGGGCAACGGACUGGUGCCACAGAGCCUGAUUGGGUUUUGGUAAAAGCCAGCUGUGUCCACGGAGAAAGUCUAUCGUGUCAUCAGCGUGAGGCAUGUAUUCAGGGUCUGAGUCUCCUCCGGGACCAUAAUGCCAUCAAUGAAAAGGAAGGGAGAAAACCCCCACAGCAUGGUUCAGCUCAGCGUCCACUGUGCACAUUAUUACAGUGUGCCGACUUGGCUUUUAGCAUGUAUCCUGUCGUUUCCCCGGGCGGUUGUACUUUUGAUACAAAUACGCUCCAGUAAGGAGGAAGGCACCUGUAAGAGCCCCCGAGACGUCAAGAGAAAAUCAAACAAACAAACAAACAAACAAACCAAAGGACAGUGUGUACUUAACCGGAGGUAAAAACACUCAAAUGGUUGUUCAGUGACCAUGGCGAUGAGGAAGCCUUCUACCCUGUAAAUGUAGGUCGCCGCGGCACCCCGGUCCAAACAUCUGAGAGUGUGAGUGUUGGCAGUGACAGAUUUGGCUCUGUAGGCGAUGUGUGUGUGUGUGUGUGUGUGUGUGUGUGUGUGUGUGUGUGUGUGUGUGUGUGUGUGUGUGUCCCUUUCUGUGUCGCCUCCAUGCUUUCUUAGGUUUCUAAAUGUGUAUCCUAAUACUCUAGGCUUGACACAAGAAGUGAAAGAGUUUCAAUUCACAUGAAAUGGACUUGUAUUUAAAGGCCUCACAUAACAGUUUUUUGCUCUCAUCCACUGUUCAGGCUUCCCCACACUGACUCAGAGGUUGACUCUAGCUCAGGGUUCCAGUAAACCCACUGGGGUACGACGGGGUAGAGGCGCAGCCCUCGGCUGGAUAGAGGGGUGAAAAGCAGAAAAAUGUUAUUCAACAAAAUAUUUUGGAGCCGCAUGGGUUUUUCGCAGAUUAUCACCGAACAAGGAGAUCUUUUAAAAAAAAUAAAAAAUAAAAAAAAACUCCCGCGUGUGUUUUGCCAAUUCUGAGAAAUUGCUUGUUGUUUUGCGUUGGCGAUUAAGAAAGGCGCCCUUAUUGUUUGCACAGCUGAAUACAGUGAACCCCUUGACUUCAGGUCGAGUCAACAAC